UAGGGAAUGUACCGCAAUGGGCGCAAGCCUGACGGAGCGACGCCGCGUGAGGGAUGACGGCCUUCGGGUUGUAAACCUCUUUUACAGGGGACGAUACAAGACGGUACCCUGUGAAUAAGCCUCGGCUAACUACGUG
rnacentral:rRNA from 1 species